AACCACUUCCGAAAUUUCUACAAACAAUUGUGGAGCAUUAAACUAUCCUCUAAACUUCUAAUUACAUUAUGGAGGUUAUCACGACAUUUUAUUCUUAAACUUGUUAACUUGUAGCGACAAAGAUUGGUGAGUAAUGUAGCCUGUCCACGAUAUGCACAAGAGGUGGAGUCAAUGGAUCACAUUUUUCAGGUUUGUCCUGUAUCAAUUGAGACAUGGUUAGUCUUAAGUUUUUCUCAUAUAUUGAGUAAACCUGAGUUGGAUUUUGAUCAUUGGCUUACUUGGGUUUUCGAUGUUUGCUCAUUUCAAUAGAGGAAUGUCAGAGUUCAUGAACUUAAGGUCAAUACUGGUCAUGAUAUUGCUCAUUUCAUCAAUAGUUAUAGCAUUGAGUUAGAGGUAAUGGAAAAGAGGAAACUCACACAAAAGUUUGUAGUAGCAAAUUGGAGGAGACCUUCAAUACCAAUUAUAAAAAUAAAUUUUGAUGGUGCUUUUAGUAACAGCAUGUUUAGAUCAUCAAUGGGGUUAGUAGCACGAAAUAUGGAGGGGCAGGUGCUAUUUUCCUGUUCGAUGCUCUAUGAAAACACUCCGUCGAGCUUCACUAUCGAAGUGAUUGUUUGUCUCCGUGCAGUGCAAGUGGGUUUGGAGAGAGGUUGGCUGGAAGUAACAGUAGAAGGGGAUGCGUUAGUUAUCAUAAAAAAAUGUCUGUCAUCAACCUUAGAUAAAUCUCAAUUAAGUGCUUACAUUCAUGACAUUCAAAGCUAAAGAGUUAGAUUUCAGCAUAUUGACUUUUUUCACACACCCAGAUCGACGAAUAGGCAAGUGAACCUCUUAGCGACAGAAUCAUUGAAAAGAAAUGAGGAAUAUUACCUAGAAGGAGGAGUUCCAGUAUUUACUGAGAGGUUGAUGGUAGGGAAAAAGUUGUAUGAGCCAAAGUAAAGUAGAUCGGAGAAGGGAAAGGAAGAAAUGAGAGAAAUUAUUUUUUGGAUUAAAUGUGAGUUGUUUUCUCUCUGUGCACUGAACCAUCUAAGACUAAAAUGAUUGAAAU
rnacentral:lncRNA from 1 species